rnacentral:misc_RNA from 1 species
AUAAAGGCUUAGUUGAGUUGAGUGGGGAUAUUUUGGUGGUUCACUAUUUGCAAGUGAAGAACUGCAAUUUGUUUUACUUUUUAAUUGUAGGUUAGAGUAUUAUUAAUAUUGCCUCGUUUGAACCAUUAUUUUUAGUUAUUUUAGCUAUUUUCUGGAUUAAAUCUUGAAGUUUUCAACUUGAUAUUUGAGGUCUAUUAUAUUUCUUACGUGUGUGUCUGUACACACAUGCACAUAUAGAAAUGUAUAUACGUAUUCAAAUUGUGUUUGCCACCCUUACUAAUCUUGCUUUCCCAAGAAAUUUGCACAAGUGUCUUUUAACUAUAUUUUGGACCCAUGAUAAUUUUUGGGCGCAUGAUUUUGUUGUACAAAAUACUUAUCUCUGAUAAUAUAUGCAAGUCCGUACAGAGUAUACGGAGUAUCUUAUUGUAUGUAACAUUUAUGUUAUUUGGACUCUUUAUUAAAAAGCUAAUUUUAUUAGUAUUCUAUUUCCCAAGUUCUAUAACAUUAUGCUGUCAUGUUGAAUUUAGUUUGUUUUUAUAAUUUCUAUUUUAAAUAUUAACUUAAUUUUUAAUGAUGCUUAAACACUUGCAGGGAGGCUGUGUGCUGUCAGU